UCAAGAAACUUCCACAAUGGGCGAAAGCCUGAUGGAGCGACGUCGCGUGAUGGACGAAGUGCUUCGGCACGUAAACAUCUUUUAUGUGGGAUGAAAUUAUUGACAGUACCACAUGAAUAAGGGGCUCCUAACUCUGUGCCAGCAGGAGCGGUAAUACAGAGGCCCCAAGCGUUAUCCGGAAUCACUGGGCGUAAAGGGUGUCGAGGCGGUUGUAUUAGUCGUUCGUAAAAUCUACGAGCUUAACUUGUAGGCGGCGAACGAAACGGUACGACUUGAGGUUUGGAGAGGUGCGUGGAACUCACGGUGUAGGGGUGAAAUCCGUUGAUAUCGUGGGGAACACCGAAGGCGAAGGCAGCGCACUGGCCAAAAUCUGACGCUCACACACGAAAGCUAGGGUAGCGAAGAGGAUUAGAUACCCUGGUAGUCCCUGAGCGGGCUGGCAAGGCGCAU
rnacentral:rRNA from 1 species